rnacentral:rRNA from 1 species
AUUGAACGCUGGCGGCAUGCCUUACACAUGCAAGUCGAACGGCAGCACGGGAGCUUGCUCCUGGUGGCGAGUGGCGAACGGGUGAGUAAUACAUCGGAACGUACCCUGAAGUGGGGGAUAACGUAGCGAAAGUUACGCUAAUACCGCAUAUUCUGUGAGCAGGAAAGAGGGGGAUCGCAAGACCUCUUGCUUUAGGAGCGGCCGAUGUCGGAUUAGCUAGUUGGUGAGGUAAAGGCUCACCAAGGCGACGAUCCGUAGCGGGUCUGAGAGGAUGAUCCGCCACACUGGGACUGAGACACGGCCCAGACUCCUACGGGAGGCAGCAGUGGGGAAUUUUUGGACAAUGGGCGCAAGCCUGAUCCAGCCAUGCCGCGUGAGUGAAGAAGGCCUCGGUUGUAAGAC